GUAAGAGAUACUGAUCUACUUCUGGUAAGGGAUACUGAUCUACUUCUGGUAAGGGAUACUGAUCUACUUCUGGUAAGGGAUACUGAUCUACUUCUGGUAAGGGAUACUGAUCUACUUCUGGUAAGGGAUACUGAUCUACUUCUGGUAAGAGAUACUGAUCUACUUCUGGUAAGGGAUACUGAUCUACUUCUGGUAAGGGAUACUGAUCUACUUCCAGCCACAGAUUGAUAGUUACCUUGUAAUCUCCACAUAUUCUUACAGUACUGUCUGUUUUCAGGAUACACACAAUUGGAGCAGCCCAUUGACUGUAGUUAACUGGAGUAAGGACCCCUUCUGACUCCAACGUAACUAGCUGUUUUUCAACCGCUUCUCUAAGUGCAUACGGUACUGGGCAAGGACUGUAGAACUUAUGUGCAGCCCUAUUAGUUACAUGUAGCUUGGCUGUGAUACCUUUUAGCAUCCCUAGCUCUGGCUGAAACACAAAUAUUUUUCACACAAACCAUCUACUGUCUCUACAGCUGUUACUGUGUACAUGUGACCAGUCUUAGCUUCAACUGACUGAUCCAGUCUCUACCCAGCAGGGCAGGACCAUUUCCUUCUACCACCAGCAAGUCUAAAAAAGUUGUACUCCCAUUACACUUGACCUUGAUUAAGAUUUUCCCACUGUUUACUGUAUGUUUUUAACACCCAGUUUGCAGGGCUCAAUUUUGCACUUUUGAACUUGCGGUUGUACAACCUCUCUGACAUCAAACUGCUGCACCUGUAUCAACUUCCAUGUUGAGUCUCACAUCAUCUAUCCUUACAUACAAAGUCUUUACGUCUACUGCAAACAGUUCAGUUCCUUUUACGUUACCCAACUCAUAGUCAGUGGUGAAAACGGCUGAGGUCCCUUUAUCAGAGUUCUCACUCUCAUUUGAGAUGUAAUGCUCCAAACUCUGGCACUUGAGUGCGAUGCAAUGCUCCUGUGUUGAAAUGACGUGCUUGUCCUCUCUCUCGCUGGUGUGCGUUGCCCUGAUCAUCGUUGCUCCACUCGUCUUCCUGCAGUCACAGUAAGGAGGCCCCUCUCUCUCUCAGUAGCAUCCAGGUGCUUAUUCAAUUUCACUUGCCUCGUUUAAUUGUUUCCCACUUGACGCGAGCGGCAAGUCAUGGCUACGUGUCCUUUCUUCUUGCACUCCAGAAGCUCAAAAUCCACGUAGCGCCACUCAUCUGGCUUGUGCCCUUUUCCCACACAAUGGUAACAUGGUUUACAGGUUGCCUCCGUUUUCUUGGCAACGCUUUUCUUCUCAACUGCAUUUGCUUUGAAAGUAUUUUGUGAAGAUUGCAGUGUGCUUUUCCUUGUUACUUCAAAAGAAAAUCCCAUAUCCACAGCCAGUGCUAAUGUUAAAUCUUGUGUGAGCUACAUUCAGGUAAACGGUCUCUCAGCUCUGCACUUUUAACACCACACAGAGAUCACGUACUGACAGACUGAAUUUUCUUAAACUAGCCAAAUACUCACUAAUCGACUCUCCCUCGAGUUGACUCCUUGCAUGAUACUUACAUCUUUCAGCAAUACAAUUUGUCAUCGGUAUGUAGUGACCUUUCAACAGCGCAACCAACUGUCAACGUUGUUUCACUUGGUUUCUGUGGCGCAUUAAAGUCCUGUAAUGACCUGACUAGAUCAUAAAGGAACAAUUGUCCAGACAGAUGAUUGAGUUUACAAAUUGACGGUUUAUUAACCCAAUUUUACGCAGACUACUGUUUGGCCGUAGACAACACCAAAUAAAUUAAAGAUAAUCCACAAACCGACCGUGAGCUUCUCUUGUGAAACCCAGACGUAAAAGAGAGCGAAGAAAGGCUAAAUCUGGAUUUAACUUCCAAUGCUCCAUCCCCCUGCCCAACCCCCUCCACGCCACUCCACCAACCACCAGGAUGCCCGGAAUCAGAACAUUCCAGGCAUUACUGUGAUUGGCAGAUAGCAGGUGGAUUGACAUGUCGGACCCCGCGAACACUGGGUACUGGUAAGUACAACACAACCCCCUACUAGCCUAACACAUAACAACACACACCUGUCUGUGCGGGUAGCUACAGUCCAUGAACAAAUUGACAAUGAGAAGCGGACACCGUUGCAUGCCGCUGCCUAUCUAGGAGAUGCAGAAAUUCUAGAGCUACUCAUACUAUCAGGAGUCAGAGUAAAUGCCAAAGACAAGUGUCUCACUCCUCUGCACCGGGCCGUGGCUUCCUGCAGGAGGCAGUCCAGGUGCUAUUGAAACACUCUGCUGAUGUGAACGCCAGGGACAAGAACUGGCAAACGCCGCUCCACAUCGCUGCGGCCAAUAAGGCGGUCCGCUGUGCCGAGGCCUUGGUCCCUCAGCAAUGUGAACAUGUCGGACCGGGCACUGCACCAUGCAGCGGACACCAAGAGGUUAGCAAUUAGCAGGGACAUG